rnacentral:rRNA from 1 species
UACGUAGGGGGCAAGCGUUGUCCGGAAUUAUUGGCGUAAAGAGCGCGUAGGCGGUCCGGUAAGUCGGUUGUGAAAGUCGGGGGCUCAACCCUCGGAUGCCGAUCGAUACUGUCGGGCUAGAGUCCGGAAGAGGCGAGUGGAAUUCCUGGUGUAGCGGUGAAAUGCGCAGAUAUCAGGAGGAACACCGAUGGCGAAGGCAGGUCUCUGGCCACUACUGACGCUGAGAAGCGAAAGCAUGGGAGCGAACAGG